GAUCACAGUCAAGGGCCUGGUGGACCGGGAAAAAGGCGACUUCUACACCCUGACGGUGGUGGCAGAUGACGGCGGCCCCAAGGCGGACUCCACCGUGAAGGUCUACAUCACGGUGCUGGAUGAGAAUGACAACAGUCCCCGGUUUGACUUCACCUCCGACUCAGCAGUCAGCGUGCCUGAGGACUGCCCUGUGGGCCAGCGUGUGGCCACCGUCAAGGCC